rnacentral:rRNA from 1 species
GAUGAACGCUGGCGGCGUGCCUAAUACAUGCGAGUCGAGCGAAAGGACGCGGCGCUUGCUUCUUUGUUGUUAGCGGCGCACGGGUGAGACACGCGAGGAUCCCCUACCUGUCAGACUGGGAUCACCUCGGGAAACGGGCGCUAAUCCCAGAUAAUCUUCUGCUCCGCAUGGUUCAAAGGUAAAAUUCGGUCUUGCUGUCACUUCUCGCUGCUUCCGCGCUGCAUUAGCUGGUUGGUAAGGUAACGGCUUACCACGGCAACGAUGCAUAGCCGACCGGAGAGGGUGAUCGGCCACACUGGAACUGAGACACGGUCCAGACUCCUACGGGAGGCAGCAGUAGGGAAUCUUCCGCAAUGGGCGAAAGCCUGACGGAGCAACGCCGCGUGAGUGAUGAAGGUCUUCGGAGCGUAAAACUCUGUUAUUAGGGAAGAACAGAUGUGUAAGUAACUGUGCACAUCUUGACGGUACCUAAUCAGAAAGCCACGGCUAACUACGUG